rnacentral:rRNA from 1 species
GACGAACGCUGGCGGCGUGCUUAACACAUGCAAGUCGAACGGAAAGGCCCUGCUUUUGUGGGGUGCUCGAGUGGCGAACGGGUGAGUAACACGUGAGUAACCUGCCCUUGACUUUGGGAUAACUUCAGGAAACUGGGGCUAAUACCGGAUAGGAGCUCCUGCUGCAUGGUGGGGGUUGGAAAGUUUCGGCGGUUGGGGAUGGACUCGCGGCUUAUCAGCUUGUUGGUGGGGUAGUGGCUUACCAAGGCUUUGACGGGUAGCCGGCCUGAGAGGGUGACCGGCCACAUUGCGACUGAGAUACGGACCAGACUCCUAUGGGAGGCAGCAGUGGGGAGUAUUGCACAAUGGGCGGAAGCCUGAGGAAGAAACGCCGCGUGCGGGAUGAAGGCCUUCGGGUUGUAAACCGCUUUAGGCUGUGACGAAGCGUGAGUGACGGUAAUGGGUAAAGAAGCACCGGCUAACUACGUG